GCCCAAAAUCUAGCUCCCCCACACCCAAUACCACCCUCAACCAAUUUCCUUACAAACAAAACAUUUUCAUAAUAUAGUACAGGAGAUCGAAAAAUUUCUAGACGCUUCAGAUAAAGUACCGUAAGGGAAUGAUGAAAUAAAAAUGAAACAACUUUAAAGCCUAAAAUAGUAGAGAUAUUCCCUCG
rnacentral:rRNA from 1 species